rnacentral:rRNA from 1 species
ACCCGCACAAGCGGUGGAUGAUGUGGAUUAAUUCGAUGCAACGCGAAGAACCUUACCUACCCUUGACAUGUCCGGAACUUGCCAGAGAUGGCUUGGUGCCCGAAAGGGAACCGGAACACAGGUGCUGCAUGGCUGUCGUCAGCUCGUGUCGUGAGAUGUUGGGUUAAGUCCCGCAACGAGCGCAACCCUUGUCCUUAGUUGCUACGCAAGAGCACUCUAAGGAGACUGCCGGUGACAAACCGGAGGAAGGUGGGGAUGACGUCAAGUCCUCAUGGCCCUUAUGGGUAGGGCUUCACACGUCAUACAAUGGUCGGUACAGAGGGUUGCCAAGCCGCGAGGUGGAGCCAAUCCCACAAAGCCGAUCGUAGUCCGGAUUGUUCUCUGCAACUCGAGAGCAUGAAGUCGGAAUCGCUAGUAAUCGCGGAUCAGCAUGUCGCGGUGAAUACGUUCCCGGGUCUU